rnacentral:rRNA from 1 species
UACGAAGGGGCUAGCGUUGUUCGGAUUUACUGGGCGUAAAGCGCACGUAGGCGGAUCGUUAAGUCGGGGGUGAAAUCCUGGAGCUCAACUCCAGAACUGCCUUCGAUACUGGCGAUCUAGAGUCCGGAAGAGGUGAGUGGAACUCCUAGUGUAGAGGUGGAAUUCGUAGAUAUUAGGAAGAACACCAGUUGGCGAAGGCGGCUCACGUGGUCCGGUACUGACG